rnacentral:lncRNA from 1 species
AACAGGUAAUAAUAAUAAUAAUAAUAAUAAAACAGGUAAUAAUAAUAAUAAUAAAACAGGUAAUAAUAAUAGUAUAAUUGGCAGAACACAGUCAAAUAGCACUAACCAAAACGACAAUGAUCAAAUAAUAGAUAGUAAGAAAGAAUCUUUAAAAAAAUGUUAUUUUAAUUUAUAUGGUAACAUGAAACAUAAAGAAGAAGAUUUAAUAUCGAACCAGUCAAAUUUGUCGUAUAUAGAAAGUACUAGUAGUAAUAAUAACAACAGUAGUAAUAAUAACAACAGUAGUAAUAAUAACAACAGUAGUAAUAAUAACAACAGUAGUAAUAAUAACAACAGUAGUAAUAAUAAUAAUGGUUGUAAUAAUAAUAGUAAUAAACUAGACCCAGAGGUACAUACAAAUCGUGAUUUAUUUUUUAAAUUAAACUGUACUAAUAAUUUUAAAAAUGAAUUAAAUAAUAAUAAAUAUUUAUAUGAUUUAAAUUUAAAUGAAUUAAAACAAUGUAAUGUUUUUAGUUUCAGUAAUAAUGCUAUUUUAAAACAAAGUCCUAACGAAUUAAAUAUGAACAGUCAUAAAAAAAUAUAUGAUAAAAAAAUAUAUAAUAAAAAAAUAACAUUGUAUGAUGGUUUUGAAAAAAAAAACGAAUCAAAUGUAGGUGGAGAAAAUGUAUAUAUGGAUAUGGGUAAGGGUGAUGGUACAAAUACUGACACAUAUUUUGAAAAGUUCGAAAAUGAUACAAUGUAUAGUAACAGUAGUAAUAGACAUGUAAGUGAAGGAAAAGUCAAUAAAAAUGUUAUGACUAUAAAAAUGAAAAAUCGUAAUUUACAUAGUGAUACAGAAAAAGAUAAAACAAUAGAUCAUUUCCUUUCAAAUUUAAAAAAAAAACAAAAUGAAAAAAUAAAUCAAACAAAUUAUACAAUGGAUAAACAAAGAAAUACAAAAAGAGACAUAUAUAAUAAUAGUAGUAGUAAUAGUAGUAAUAAUAAUAAUAGUAGUAAUAGUAGUAAUAAUAAUAAUAAUAGUAGUAAUAGUAGUAAUAGUAGUAAUAAUAAUAAUAAUAAUAUUAAUCAAUCUGUAACUAAAAGUGCCCCAGUUAUUAGCACUUCAAUUACAACUCCCUCAAUGAUAACUCUACCACACAGUUUUAAUGUUUUACCAAGUAAUAAAUUAAAUAAUAAAAAUAUAAAUAAGCUUGGUAUUAUUAAGUAUGAAAAUGUUAUUAAUCAUAAAAUUCUAAACGAAAAUAAACAUAGACAACUGAAUAUAAAUUCAUAUUCAUUAAGUCAACACAAUCAUAAAAAAAACGAUAUAAAUGAUUUAUUUAAUUUGCAUGAUUAUUUUAAAAACGAUUAUGAAAUUGUAAAUGAUAAAAGAAUGGCCUUAAGUAAUUCACCAACCUAUAUGCUUACUAACGAGUUUGUAAUUAGUAACGAUUGUUUAGUUGGUGAUAAAAGUGUAUAUAAACUGAAUAAUUUUUGUGACAAAUUUCAAAACAGCAAUAUAACAAAAACUAAUAAUUUGAAUAGCGACUAUAAUGAUAUAAAUCUGAGUAUUGGAAUUUCAUCAGUACCUACUGUUUCUGAAGGUAGUAUUACAAAUCCAAUAAAUAAUAGUAUAAAAGAAUUGCCAAACAUAUUUAUACAGAAGGAAAAAAAACAAAGUGAAAAAAAAAAUAAUAAUAAUAAUAAUAAUAAUAAUAAUAAAAUAAAAACUGAUAAUCGAGAAACAGUACAUAAUAUUUUUAUAAACGAUAAAAAUAAAAUAAAUGAUAUAAAUAGUAAUCAAUCUUUAAUAAAGGAUGUGUUUGGAAAAAGUAUCAGUUGUAGUACCAGUUGUAGCACUAGCAGUAGUGCCGGUAGUAUAGAAAAUGUAAAAAAACAUAAAAAACGACAAAAUGAAAAAAAAAAAAAAAAAAAAAUGGCAA